UUGGCGUUAGGGUUAAAAUCACUGUCCAAAACCUUUUUAGGAACACCUUUUGGAGUUAGUUACAACAACAAAAAAUUUUUGUAAAAUGAAAAAGAAAUAUUUGGGGUGUUCGGGCUUCCUGAAGGUAAUACCCGGGUAUUAGGUUAUGGGGCUUUGGUAAGGUUUAAGGUUUUUGGCAUUAGGGUUAAAAUCACUGUCCAAAACCUUUGUAGGAACUCUUUUCCAACCUUUUGGAGUUAGUUAGACCUAAAAAAAAAAACGAAAAAUGAAAAAAAAAAUGUUUGGGGUGUUCGGGCUUCCUGAAGGUAAUACCCGGGUAUUAGGUUAUGGGGCUAGGGUAAGGUUUAAGGUUUUUGGCGUUAGGGUUAAAAUCACUGUCCAAAACCUUUGUAGGAACUCUUUUUCAACCUUUUGGAGUUAGUUAGACCAAAAAAAAAUGAAAAAUGAAAAAAAAAAUAUUUGGGGUUUUCGGGCUUCCUGAAGGUAAUACCCGGGUAUUAGGUUAUGGGGCUAGGGUAAGGUUUAAGGGUUUUGGCGUUAGGGUUAAAAUCACUGUCCAAAACCUUUGUAGGAACUCUUUCCAACCUUUUGGAGUUAGUUAGACCCAAAAAAAAAAAAUAAAUAAAAAAAAUAUUUGGGGUGUUCGGUCUUCCUGAAGGUAAUACCCGGGUAUUAGGUUAUGGGGCUAGGGUAAGGUUUAAGGUUUUUGGCGUUAGGGUUAAAAUCACUGUCCAAAACCUUUUUAGGAACUCUUUUCCAACCUUUUGGAGUUAGUUACAACAAAAAAAAGUAAAAUGAAAAAAAAAAUAUUUGGGGUGUUCGGGCUUCCUGAAGGUAAUAC